AAAGAAAUGAGGCCUCUUCAUUACCAGAACAAAGCAUCCUCAUGAUAUGGGUGUUUCUAAUGGGAGGAUUAGGAAACCUCAAGGACCUGCCAUUGAUGAUGUCAAAGUAACAUAAAUAUGACCAUACAUCAAAGGUUGCUAUGGCAAAACGGCUCUUUUCUUUCAAUAUGACAUCAUGGUUGUUGGUACUGGAUAUGUAUCGUUUCAUGCCCUGUCAAUCUAGAUACCUUUACCUUGUUGAUGCCGUGUCGAAUCUCCAUUGCUGUUGGAUAUUUGAUUUUGUUAUGCCCAUCUGUUCCUGAUAGGAAUGUCUCGGUGAUAGGAGAAAGAGUGAGAAAAGAAGUCACUGCUUUCUUUUAGAACAGGAAAAAGGCCCAACAUUUUCCUAGAAGAUCCUGUGGUUCUGGACAUCCCAAGUUCCUCACAUUCUCUUGUUUCUCUGGCUUUUGAAGGCCUGGUCAAUCAUUCCACUAUGGAUGAUGAGACGAGAUGUGGAUAUAUGAUGCAUGUGUAGGGCUUGAGCAGGCAAAUGGCCUUGAGUGAUCUCCCUCUUGGCCUUAUCACAAACCAUCUUUUGUUUGCAGCCUUAAGUCUUUCUUAAGACAUGUGGAGCCCCUAGUGGACUACAAAUCCAAAGCCAGCUGCUCAACAGAAUAAGUAGUUGAGGGAACAAUGCAGCACUGCUCCAUGGUGACGGUAUGCUGUGUGCGACCCUGAGUUUGGUCAUAUCAUCAAAGUAGCGCCAAAGAAACAGGAUUAUGUGUACCAAGCUUUUGCGGAUCACAGGUGGUCACAUCAUGCAAACUUGCAAAGCAUUGAGCUUGACACAAUCUUCUCCCUGUAUGGAGAGACAAUGAAAAAUUAGAGAUAACAAUUGCUCCGAUAUAGGUGCAUUUGGCAAGGAUCUGGUUUAUCAUUCUUUCCGUUUAAAUUCUGUUUCCCCCCAUGGAAUUCAAUCUUCUGUUAAUCAGAAUCACUUUGUGUAAAUUGGCUAAUUUGUUGGGACAGUUAAUGCAUUUUUUUAAUCAAAUAUGAGAUCUUUCAUGCUA